CGGCGCAAGGGUGCGUAACGCGUGAGCAACAUGCCCGUCUCAGGGGGAUAACCGGUGGAAACGCCGCCUAAUACCCCAUGGCGAUAUAUUGAGGCAUCUUGAUAUAUCUAAAGCUCCGGCGGAGACGGAUUGGCUCGCGUGACAUUAGCUGGACGGCGGGGUAACGGCCCACCGUGGCUACGAUGUCUAGGGGUUCUGAGAGGAAGGUCCCCCACACUGGAACUGAGACACGGUCCAGACUCCUACGGGAGGCAGCAGUGAGGAAUAUUGGUCAAUGGGCGGGAGCCUGAACCAGCCAUGCCGCGUGAAGGCGAGUGCCCUACGGGCGUUAAACUUCUUUUGUGCGGGAGCAAUAAGGGCCACGCGUGGCCCGAUGAGAGUACCGCACGAAUAAGCAUCGGCUAACUCCGUGCCAGCAGCCGCGGUAAUACGGGGGAUGCGAGCGUUAUCCGGAUUUAUUGGGUUUAAAGGGUGCGUAGGCUGUGAGGUAAGUCAGCGGUGAAAUGCCCCCGCUCAACGGGGUGAAGUGCCAUUGAUACUGCCUUGCUGGAAUGCGGAUGCCGUGGGAGGAAUGUGUGGUGUAGCGGUGAAAUGCAUAGAUAUCACACAGAACACCGAUUGCGAAGGCAUCUCACGAAUCCGCGAUUGACGCUGAUGCACGAAAGCGUGGGUAUCAAACA
rnacentral:rRNA from 1 species